rfam:Larimichthys crocea isolate SSNF unplaced genomic scaffold scaffold218, whole genome shotgun sequence.
GUUUCCCUUUUUUGUGAGUCGCUUUGGAUAAAAGCAUCAGCUAAAUGACUAAAU